rnacentral:lncRNA from 1 species
CCCAAGUAGCUGGGAUUACAAGCGCCUGCCAACACGCCCAGCUAAUUUUUGUAUUUUUAAUAGAGAUGGGGUUUCACCAUUUUGGCCAGGCUGGUCCUGAACUCCUGACCUCCUGAUCCACCUGCCUCGGCCUCCCAAAGUGCUGGGAUUACAGGCGUGAGCCACUGCGUCCGGCCUUGCCUCACCGUUAAAAGACUACAAUAUGACGUGAUACAUCAGCUUUUUCGAAGUCCAGUGUACGUCAGACCCUGAGGCCUGCAGUAUCUGGAAUGGUGUUGCUGGAUGUGCAAAACUGCCAGGCUCUGGCUUGUGGUGUUCUCAUCUACCAGAUCAUUCCUGGGAGGCCCAAUUUGGCCAGCUGGCUCACCUCUGCCGGUGGUAUUGCUAGCAUUGCACAUUGGAACUGCAGCUUGGGAAAGUGAUAGAAACCAAACACAUGGUGGGUACAAAGCAAGUUUGUUGUAUUUUAUCCACAUUAGUAUUUUGGAUGUUUCAAUAUUUAAACAUUUCAAAAAGCAAAAUCAAUGAUAAUACUUCUUGAAUGUGUUGUGAACAAUGCAAGCCUUUUAUUAAAAAUUAUGGAAUAUUCGAAAGAAAUGUUUUUCUUACAAGAGAGCAGAGAAUAAUUACUCAGGGUUCCUGUGUCAAAGCCUCUAGGGCCCCUUUACUGUCCAGAAUUCUUAGUAAGUGGAAAACCUUUCCCAAGCACAAUGAAGUCUCAACCCUGAUACGGGCAGGACAGCAAAAGACCUGUCUCCUCUUUCCAGAGCAAACCCCAGUGGUUGCACCUGUCCUCCCAUUACACUUUGGGGAUAAACCCUGGAGGCCAUAGUGUAGGGGACCAGUUUCAUGGGUCUUGUUGCCAAAGCUUACUUUUUUGAUCCUACUGCUAAAUUCUGACCCUUCCUCCAAUUGAUCUGCUUUCCAAAAAGAGCAUACCAACACCUGCACAAACCAUUUGAUGUGGUGCAGUAAGCUGUUUCAUCCAAGUGUUCCAAAGCCAUAGGAUGAGCAAGGGGGAAAAACUUAGACCUGUAUAGGAUCUUCCCCCAGGUAGUUACUCUUUCACAGGGGGUGCAUGGGAGACAGGCUGCUGUUGUGCCAUCCUUUCCAUUACAUAAUGAUAACAACUGUUACUUGGAAUGCUUUAAUGCUUGAUGUUAUUUAUGUUUAAAUAUUUGCUGUAUUCCUGGCUCUGUGCUAAAUGCUAUGCCUGCAUCUUAAAAAAUCCUUAAAAUAACUCAAGGUAGGUACCAUUGUUGCUUCCAUUCUCCAGAUGGGACACUAAGACUUUAAGAAGUUAAAUAGCUCACCUGAAAACACACAGCUAGUAAGUAACACAAUGGAGACUUGAACCCAAGUCUAUUCUACUCUAGACCAUGGACUCCAAGAUUAAUUAAUUAUGCAAAUAAGGAAUGUGGAGAGUUCAGCCUUGAGCAAAGGGAGAUUAGCUUGUUUUGCACCAACUCUUCUGCUGAGGAAAGGACAAAAGCCAGAAUAUACAUACCUAUUCAGGGAUCAGAGGGCUGUUGAGAAAGCAAGGGCUAAUAUUCGAGAGACCUACAUUUGAUACUGUUCGUUUCCCCCUCAAGGGACUUGCUAAUUCAAGGGCAGGGGCUGAGAAACUGAACAGAAUUUGUAGAAGACUAAUGCAGACCAAAAAUUAGAGUUGGGGUCCAAGUAGAAGCAGCCCUGGAAAACACCCCAGACUUUCUCGUGGGACCCCAAAGAGCUACUCUUUGAUUAAAGGUGAAUUGGUUAUGGGCCUGUCCUCACAAGGACUGAAGCCCAGCCUCAGAUCUAGUGGAUAGCCAGAAGCAAAAACAAAGCCCCUCUGAAGGAGGACAUGGUCUAAUUUCUCAAAUUUUCUCUAUUAAUUGUUUUCAAAGUCUGCUUAAGAAAUAGGAAUGCAAAAACACAAGAUUCGACCAACAAUGAGAAAGUGAACAAUAGAAACAGACCUCCAGGAAAUUCACGUAGUUAACAUUAUCUGACCGGUGUCUUACAAUAACUAUGAUUAAAAUGUUCAUGAAUUAAAUGACCAAAUGGAACAACUUCAGGAGAGAACUGGACACUAUGUUUAAAAUUCUAGAAUUGAAAAAUAAUAUAACAAUUUAAGAAAUCAGUAGAUGGCUCUGAUAGACACAACUUAAGAGAUAGGUAAUGAAAUGAAAGAUAAGAAAAUAUCCAGACUGGUGCUGGGGGUAAAUAGGAAGACAACUAUUCGAAGAGUUAAUGGUUAAGGUUGUUCCCAAAUUAAUGAAAGACAUUAAGCCACAUAAAUAAGAAAUGCUGUUGACCUCUAAGCAGGAUAAGUUACAAUGAAAGUUAUACUUAAUUACUUCAUAGUAAAACUACUGGAAAACAAAGACUAAUUUUAAAAGUAGCCAGAGGAAAAAUAUAUAUUACUUUCAAAGGAGCAACAGCAAGCCUUGAGAGGGAAUUUUCAGCAGAAGUAAUGAUAGUGGAAAAUGGAAUGGUGUUUUCAAAGAGCUUCAAGAAAAUAAUAGUCAACCUAGAAGACUAUGAGGCAAAAAUAUCCUUCCAAAGACACGUCCAGACAAAGGAAAAUAGAAUUUGCCACCAAUGAAAAGUACCAAAAGUAUGAAAGGAAAGUACUAAAGGGUGUUGUUGGAGCAGAAGGAAAAUGAUCACUGACCACAGCUGGAGGUGCAGAAAGGCAUUGAAAGGCAAUGGAAAGGGUAAGUAUGUGUAUAAAACUAAAUAAAUAUUGAAUGUGUGAAACAACUUUUUACUUUCUGGGGUCUUAAAUAUAUAAAGAACUAAAAUACAUCACCAAGAGAAGCACGUUAAGUGUGGAGGGAGGUAAAUGUAGGGGUCCCCAACAUUUCUGGCACCAGAGACCAGUUUUGUGGAAGAUAAUUUUUUCCCAGACAGUGGGUGGAGGGGUGGAGGGAUUGGGAGCAUGGUGUUGGGAUGACACUGUCCCACCUUAAAUCAUCAGGCAUUAGAUUCUCAUAAGGAGUGCACAACCUAGAUCCCUCACAUGCACAGUUCACAAUAGGGUUAGCGCUCCUAUGAGAAUCUAAUGCUGCUGUUGGUCUGACAGGAGGUGGAGCUCAGGCGGUAAUGCUUGCUGGCUUGCCACCCAUCUCUUGCUGUGCAGCCCAGUUCCUGACAGGCCACUGACCAGUACUGGUUCACAGCCUGGGGACUGUGGACCCCUGGGUAAAUGGAAUUAAAGUAUUCUGAAGUCCUUGAAUUGUCUUGAAAGUGAAAAUGGUGGAGGCACUGAUUUAUAUUAGAAAUUAAUAAAUCAGGGGUACAUGUUUCAGUUUCUACGGUAUUUUGUAAAAGAAUAAGAGUAUGUAAAACUAACAAGAUAACAGAAGGAGAAUAUGAAAUAAAAUAAUCCAAAGGAAGGCAAAAAGAAAAAAAGGCGCAUAGAACAGAUGGGAACAAAUAGAAAACAAACACCCACAUGCAUCAAUCUCUACAUCAAGCAUAUGUGGACUAAAUAUUCCAAUUCAAAGGCAAUAUUAUUAUCACCCUGGAUAAAGAACAAAUAUAAUUCUCUGAGACUUAAAAACAACAUACCUUAAACAAGGAUACAGAAAGAUGGAAAGUAAAAGGAUGGAAAAAGGACUAUCAUGCAAGUAUUAACCAAAAGGAAGCUGGUGUAUUUAGUACACGAAGUGAACUUUCAGGUAUUACCAGAGUAUGAAGGAUAUUUCAUAAUGAUAAAGGGCUUGCUUUACCAGUACUAUACCGAUGGCUGAGGUAUUUGGGCUGUCUGUGAGGCUCAGAUGGGCUGCCUGUGGCCCUGCCUCACCUUGGAGAUGGCCCAGGAAGCUAACUGAGACUUGGAGUUGGUCGAAGAGGAGCCAGACUCUAAAUAUUUGAAGAUUGUGUGCGUAUGUGUGUGUGUGUUUAGGGGAAAACAUGAGAGGUAGAGUACUAUUCAAAAGGACAAGAAGUGGAACAUUUUCUUUUAUAAAUCAAAUAAAUGGUGGCUCUGAGCCUUCCCCCACCUCCUGCCUUUUUUGGGUCCAGAUUGCUAAGAAAUGUUAUUAAUGAUAGCUCACACUUACGACAUUAUUGCCUUCUAAGUGCUUUGUAGGUAUUAAUUUAUUUAAUCCUCACAACAGCCUUAGGAGACAGGCAUCAUCACUACCAUCGCCAUUUUACAGAUGGAAAAACCAGCAACCAUCAGAGCUGGUAUUCAAAAUAAGCCAAUUCAGAUUCCGAGUCCCGGCUCCUAACCAUGGAGUGGCCUCAGGGUUUUAUAGUUUGUCCGGCUCUUUGGAUGAACAUCACACCUCAUGGAGGAGAGUCCCUUCCAUUUUAACGGCUCCAGGUUGUCAUGGAAAUCCUCUGUAUACAAGAGGGUAAGGAGGAGGAUGAGAAGCAAUACAUGCUUAUUGGGACUUUCUAUCAUCCCAGGACUUAUCCAGGUACAUUAUAACAAUGUUGAAUACAGUAUUAGUCCCAUUUUAACUAUGAGGAAAAUAAGGUUUGGACUGUCAGAGACAGAGCAAGACACAUUGGUAAGGGCAGACAAGGGAUUCAUCUGACUCCAAUGCCUCUUCCUUGGUAAACCAGACUGGCUUGUCACACCGUGAAAUUAGAGUCAACUUGUUAAAUCUUGACAGGUUGCUAAAUUAUUAAUUACACCCCCAGGAGCUGUGACUGGAGCAGCAGGGAUGCUAUGGCUGCACUGUACUAUUUUUAGCACUAGAUGGUGCUGUAACACUGCACAUCUCUUCCGCGGUGGCCCUUGGAGGAAGGUUACUUCAGGGCUUGGAGACCCUGGAGGGAAGGAUGCUACCUUACCAGAGCGUGAAAAAAACAUGGAAGACAGGAUACUCUCGGGCCCUGAGAAAGCUGGAGACUGUAGCCACCAGGUGGCUCCAGGAUGUGCAGUACUGGCGUCUGGGUUUUGCUCACACAACCGUGAACUCCUGGUCCCACCGAGCCCUAGCGAGUGGAUUGGAGCACACACCCACCCACCUCCUCAGAGCUCCUACGAGUAGAGGAGGUACCUAGGCACGUGGGAGCUUGGCGCCUUGUUAGGUGCUCAGGAUACUGGUUGUCCGGAAUCCCAGUGAGGUGCAGUCCCGCCCUUGUGCCACUUUCCCAUGCGCUUCCUGCCCCUCUGGGGGCUGCAGAGGCUGCAGAGUUGUCCAGCUUGAGAAACUGUAUCAAGGUUGCUCCCUGACGGCCUGGCAACUCGCUGAAGAGCUGCCUUCAGUUCAGAACAGUUUUAGGGAGAUUGUCAUAAACUCAAUGAGUUUAAAUGAUUUUACACUGACUCUUCAAAAAUGUCAAGGUCAUGAAAGACAAAGGCCGAGGAACUGCCCCAGACUGGAGGAGGCGGGAGACAUGGCAGCUGUGAAUGCACCGUGGGUCCUGAACCAGAAAAAGGAGCUCAGUGGGACGAUUGGUAACUUUUUGAUGCAAUCUGUCGCAUCUGAAAAGAAAACACAAGAGGUUCGGUUGGUGCAAUGUUCCUUUCUUCCCAGGACUUUCUGGUCUUCAAGGCUUUCUCAUGAGACAGAAGACUGAUGGAUGUAGAAGUUUCUAAGAGGACAGUUACGCUGCCAUGUUUUGAAGCAGGAAGACGUUACCACUUCUCAAAGGUCUUUAAUUGCCUGACCACUGCUUCUCUUUGGAAGGCUGUCAGGGUGAUGGAAUCUCAGAUCACAGCACAGAUAAAAUGGACAAAGAAAGAAAGAUACAAGAAGGAUGUAAAAAUGUCCAUAAUGAACUCAUGUAUCUUGCGGAAACCUCUAAUCUAAUGAGAAUGGAUUUUGUUGAGAAGAUUGUACACCAACAAUUAAUUAUUCAUGGCAGAGA